rnacentral:rRNA from 1 species
UUUAAAGUAAAAUAUAUUUAAAAUUAAAUUAUUAAAAGUUAAAAUCUUUAAAAUUAAAGAAUUUGGCGGUAUUUUAGUCUAUUCAGAGGAACCUGUUUUAUAAUUGAUAAUCCACGAUUAGUGAAACUUUAUUUAAAAAUUUGUAUAUCAUUGUAGUAGAAUAUUUUAUAAGAAUUUAAAAUUUUCAUAAUGUUUAAUAAAAGAAUAAAUCAAAUCAAGGUGCAGUUUAUAAUAAAGUAAAUUAAUGGGUUACAUUAAAGUUAUUUUUGGAUUUUUGUUUUAAAAAUCAAAAGGAAAAUGGAUUUGAAUGUAAAAAAUUUUAUAUUGAUUUUUUGAUUAUAGCUCUAAAAUAUGU